AUCACCCAGGCGCCCCUAGUCUCAUUUUAAAAUGGAGCUACACUUCACAGUCGUUUAAAAAUGAAUAACACUCAGUUUCUUGCCUCCCAUUGCCUCAUUUGUUACGCCUGACGCUGUCCUACCCCAAAACAUGGAACCAGCACCUGAUGUCCUCCCUAGGGGGCCCUCAGAUAUUCUAGAAGUAUACUCAGGAAAACCUCCAGUAAGUAAGAGAUUAAAAUCAAGAACGCAGCUGAAGCUGUAAAAUCACAAAAAGAGUUCAGCAUUUGACGUAUGACAGGAAUAUCUGAUGAAUGGAAAUGGCCAAAGGAUGGGAAGCAAAAGAACUAGAAAUCCCACCAGCUGACUAAUCAAACCUUGAAGAAUACAGUAUUGGGUGAAUGCAUAUGACUUCUCAUUUUCAUCAGACUCAUAUCAACAGUUAGCGAAUUCCAAUCUUAAGGCUAUUCAGAAUCCUAACAGAAAUUAGUUGGUAGUCAGAUUUCAUUUGUAUAGCGUUUUCCAUGUGACUGAAUUUGUACAAUGUGACUGAGUACAGUCUGGAAGAGUCUUUACAAAAGAAGAUAUCUCUAAGUAUGAAAAAGGACUAGAUGAUCCAAGAAAGUUAUAGAGUGCUGUAAGAAGCACAGAAGUUUCUUAAAACGUAGCGAGAUCCAACGGAGAUUGUUUGCAGUAGUGGGAGGGGGAAAAAUGCCAUUAAAGUUUAAUAGAGUAACAAAGAUGAGGUAGGAAAGAGAUGCUAAAUUAUUUCUACCAAAGGGAGAUUGGAAAGCAGGUGAAGAAACACCAUUACUUUGUACAAGUAUGAGACAUGGGGUAACGUAUGAGUCCAUCUAUAAAUUUAACAGAGCAACUCCAGUCGGUCUUACCCACGUCAUAUUCCCUUGUAAUACUUAAAACUU